ensembl:snoRNA SNORD70B small nucleolar RNA, C/D box 70B
AGUUGUGUUGUCAGUGAUGUACAAAUGUUGGAACUGAAUCUUAAGUGAUUUCAUUCACCAAUUCGUCACUACCACUGAGACAAUACUGAA